rnacentral:siRNA from 1 species
ACUGACCCAGCUGGGUGGUCCGGU